rnacentral:pre_miRNA from 1 species
GAUUUCAACUGAAAAAGUCAUCAACAACAAAGUUGUAUACCUCAUCAAGAUCUAUAACUUUUAUUUUGGUCAUUUCUUCAUCCGACAUAGUGAUAGUAACAUUGUUUACAAAAUUUAUAUCUAUAUCAUUUGGUUGUAUAAACUAUAAGAGAGAUAUGUAAACUUUGUAAACAAUACUACUAUCACUUUAUCGGAUGAAGAAAUGACCAAAAUAAAAGUUGUAUGUCUUGAUGAGCUCUACAACUUUUAUGUUCAUGACUUUUUUUAGCUAAAAUU